rnacentral:rRNA from 1 species
UACGUAGGGCGCAAGCGUUAUCCGGAAUUAUUUGGGCGUAAAGAGCUCGUAGGCGGUUUUGUCGCGUCUGCCGUGAAAGUCCGGGGCUCAACUCCGGAUCUGCGGUGGGUACGGGCAGACUAGAGUGAUGUAGGGGAGACUGGAAUUCCUGGUGUAGCGGUGAAAUGCGCAGAUAUCAGGAGGAACACCGAUGCGAAGGCAGGUCUCUGGGCAUUACUGACGUGAGGAGCGAAAGCAUGGGGGAGCGAACAGG